AAUAAAAUAGAAUCAUUUAACAAUAUACUGUUAUAAUAGUUAUGUGAAUGUGAUCUCUUGAAAUAUCUUACUGUACUAUACUCAUGUUCCUGUGAUGAUACAGAAUAAUAAAAUAGCCAUGUAAUGACAUGAAGUGAGGUGAAUAAUGCAGGCAUCGUGAUGUAAGGUUGGGCAACUAUUGACCUUCUGACGAGAUGCCAGAGAAGGAUCAUCUGCUUCCAGAACACAGCUGACUGGUAACUGAAACGGAAACAAAACCACAGAUAAGGGGGCAUUGGGGAGACUACUUUAUUGAAUUUCCUUAAGCUAAUUCCUCAGAAGUCUCAGAAACAUGUGGGUUUCACGCUCAUCUUCCUCCUGGGAACCUGGAACCCAGCAAACAGUAAGAAGAAUUUGAAGGAACAAAAAAAGUGAAAUGCUCAAGUUCUGUAUACUUACCAACUAGUGAGGAGGGGCGCGGAGAGGAUUCCCACCAAGGCACCACCAGGAACAGAAAUGGACAGAAAGUGCCCAGGCCAUCAUGGCAGAAGUGGGCCGCCGGAGCCACACAUAGGGCAGCGACGGAGGCCUUAAAAUCUGUGACUGAGUAGGAAUCCAAAGGCAUGGAGGUCAGCCAGAGCAGGGGACUCUGAGGGGUCAGGUUUUCUUAUGUGGCUACAGCAGGCCACACAGAAGUCAGAGGAAUACAGCCAAAGGAGAGGAGGGCUAGAGGGAAACUAUAUCCGCCAGCACCAUGGAGUCUACCUGCGGAGUGUGAAUGCUGUCUCCUGCUCUGAUAUCCUCAGGGACAUGGGGGUUAGACCUCAGCCUCAGUAGCCAGGAGACUCUUGAGUUUGUGUUCAGGCAAGUUUCCCGGUGAUUUACCCUUGUCCCUUAGAUCCCACCCCCUCCCAUGUCUCCAUCCCCCACUUCUUGUGGUAGUUAGCCCGUUUUGUAACCUCAAUUAAUAAUAAAUAUGAACAUGAAUGGCAAGUCA